rnacentral:misc_RNA from 1 species
CUGCCAGGGGUGCUGGAGGAAAAGGAAAGGCAUUCAUAUUUGCUGUAGGGAAGCAAGUUUCUCUUGCUCGAAGGAUUAUGGAAAGAAACAGUAAAGGCCAUCCACUCCAUGAUGUGCCAUCAAUGUUGACUUAGGCAUAUUGCACAAGGAGGCAUGGAAACCUGGAAAAUAAGAGAAUCCAAAAAGGCUUUUAUUUUGCAAAACCUUAUCGUCAUCUGCCAUUAUGUGCCUGCCUCCCCUCUAUUGAGCGCACCUAUUUCUUCUCGUACCUGGAGUCAAAUGAGGAGAACUGAUUAUCCUUUCUGUUGUCAAAG